GAUGAACGCUGGCGGCGUGCCUAAUACAUGCAAGUCGAGCGAACAGACGAGGAGCUUGCUCCUCUGACGUUAGCGGCGGACGGGUGAGUAACACGUGGAUAACCUACCUAUAAGACUGGGAUAACUUCGGGAAACCGGAGCUAAUACCGGAUAAUAUAUUGAACCGCAUGGUUCAAUAGUGAAAGACGGUUUUGCUGUCACUUAUAGAUGGAUCCGCGCCGCAUUAGCUAGUUGGUAAGGUAACGGCUUACCAAGGCAACGAUGCGUAGCCGACCUGAGAGGGUGAUCGGCCACACUGGAACUGAGACACGGUCCAGACUCCUACGGGAAGCAGCAGUAGGGAAUCUUCCGCAAUGGGCGAAGGCCUGACGGAGCAACGCCGCGUGAGUGAUGAAGGUCUUCGGAUCGUAAAACUCUGUUAUUAGGGAAGAACAAAUGUGUAAGUAACUAUGCACGUCUUGACGGUACCUAAUCAGAAAGCCACGGCUAACUACGUG
rnacentral:rRNA from 1 species